GAAAAUCACAGAGAGGAGAUCUCUCACACGCAAAAAUUGAGGACCCCUUCCCCUUCCUCGGUUUUCUCUCCAAGAAACGCUCUCUCCCUAUGAUGGUUUUGAAGGAGAAUGCCUUCUCCCAAAAAUAGAGUCACAACAGACCUUUUCCUCCCCAUCCUAAAACAUAAAUCGCAUCUCCUUCCCCUUUAGGUAACACAGCUUUUCCCUUCCUCCUGCAGCUUAUACACACGCAAAAACACACAUACACAGAUCUAGAAAGAAGAAGAGACUUUAAAUUGCAAAAUCGAAUCUGAAAAUAAAAGCUUUGAAAACAAAAGAAAAAUGGAGAUUUCAAUGAAGAUUUGAGGUUUAGUGAGUUACCAAAACUUCAGACGCUCAAAUCCUUUUCCCCGGGUUUCGAAAAAUCGCUGGAGUUUGGAAUUGUGGUUGUUCACUGUGGAUUAUUCCUGGUUCAGAGAGCUAAACUCUUAAUGGUCACUGCUUCUCCUUUCUUCCAUCUGUUCAUUGUGGCCAGUGGACACACGAGUUCCGGCGCCGGAUUUGCUUGUAAUAGCCUUUGAGCAAGCGUUCGCUUGAUUCCAUCCUUGUACUGCUGGAAAUUUCAUCAAUGGAAAGUUUGAUUUUCAAUUUGUCAUAGUUGCUGAAAUUAUAUUAAUCGGAAAGCAGUUUCAGGUACUUUUCCUCAAUUUAGACUAUGUAAUAUGAUUUGGGUUCAACUAUAUCUUCCAAAAUAAUUACAUGGAACUACAGGUUCUUCUCUGUUGAGUUUGUGUUAGUUAUCAUUGAUUUGUAUGGUUAUGUUAUCUUACUUCCUGUAGAAUAGAUGAAAUUUCAUCAUCCUGCACCCUUCUCGUCUGCCGAACAGUUAUAUUUCUUCCUAAGCUCAAAGUGCUAGCACAACAACGUUUAUCUUAAGAGGAGAUGUGGUAAUUUAAUUAGUCUAGCUAACCCUUCUUGCUUUAGAUUUAAUUGUUGUUUCAGAUUUGGAAUUAUUGCCUAGUUGCUUUCUGUAAUAUCAACCCACAUGUACAUGUAAUAAGUGAGUGCUGUAUGUUUACUAUGGCAUUUUGGCCAAUGUUGAAGUAAAGAGACGUGAGAAAUGUGAGCAAAAUCAGUAACAGUAGCAGUAGUUAUUAUCUUAUACAAUUCAAAUGUUUUUAGCAAAUUAUUUUUCAAGUACGUAUUUUAUUUUCAUGGCCAGUCAGUAGUUGCCUUUCCAUAGACAUGAGUUGGUUAAUUGUUGAUUGAGGCUUGUGUUUACCCGAAUUGAUUAUAGCUGAACAUGGUUUUGUCAUAGCAUAGAAAUUGAAUUGCUGAACUACGUAAUUAGAUUAAAGGACCUGGGGGUGCAUUUCAUAUGACCCGGCUCUAAUUUCCUAUAAGGUUAAAUAGAAUGCGUUGUGACUUACGAGUGCAUUUCAUGUAGCGUAGCUCGCGAUGUGUUUUAAAUAACCUUGAAUUUUCCUCAAAUAAAUAAAAGCGGUUUGAAAGUUUACAGCCCUCUAAAUGUAGUUUUCUUUUAGAUUAGAAUUAGAGGGGUGCCGUGCCAAAUAAAAAUGACAACUGCACGUCCCUCAUUUGGUUAAUUUUGUUUUGUUUUUAGAUUUCGAGAUGGCGCCUUCCCCAAAGAUAAUAACUCUCUAGAUCUUUAGGCACAGUUUUGAUAAAAUUACCUUCCUAAAUUCGGGUGUGUAUUUCAUGUGACCCAAAUCAAAUCCCAAAACGUUGAAUAAAAUGUGUUUAGGAUUGCGGGUACAUUUCAUGUGAUGCGAUCCAAAGACAUGUGUUAAACGACGUUCAACUUUCUUUUAAAAUAUUAAAUAAAGGUGGUUAAAGUUAAAAUUGGCACAUAGUUUCCUCAUGCAAUAAAAUCGGAUAAAUAGGCUAAACACAAUAGUUUAAGCGACGAUGUUAGAACCAUGGGAUCCAGGGGUGCCUAACACCUUCCCUCGGGUCAACAGAAUUCCUUGCUUAGAAUUUCUGGUUCGCAUACCCCAAUUGGAAAGUCGAAAAUUUUUCUUGGUUCGGGAUUCAAGAUAAACUGGUGACUUGGGACACCAAAAGCCAAACCUUUCCCAAGUCGUGACUCUAAUUGAACAAAUAAUCCCGAUUCGAAUAAUGUCACUUAUAAUGGAAAAACUCCAUAUACACUAUCCUUCGGGUUAGGUACGUAAAAAGGAGGUGUGACAGCUCUGGCGACUCUGCUGGGGAAAAGAACCCAGAACAUUUUGUUCAAGGUUCAGACUUCGACCGUAGAAUAAUUGUUGCGUAUGGCUUUGUCUGAUUUUGUUACGUGAUCUGUGCUUAAUGUGCUAAUUGGCUGCUUUUACCGCUUUGAUAUUAUGUGAACUGUAUAUAAACUGUCGUGAAACCCAUCUUCUCGAUGAGUCUUCUAAAUCAUGAAGCAGGGUGCACUUCGUGUGACUUCUUUUCUGUAUAGUGUCUAAUUCUCAAUUUAGAACAGUUUAGCUUGUGGUUAGGAAAAAGGAGAUGGAGUACUCAGGUUAUCCUAGUAUGGUAUGAUAUGUGCGGUCUGUUGUGGAGGAUUGGGAUUUUUGUAUGUAAGGUACGGUUCAGUUCCGAAUGGAAAGCCAUUAAAUUCUUAAGCAGCACAGGCAGCUGCAUGUGAUUUAAGAAUCGACCCUCAGAUGAUUAAGGAAAAUGGUAUUACUAUUCUAGUAAUUUGGCGGGAGUAUACGUUCAGUAAGUGGGGAAGGUAAUGUAAAUUGAUAACACUUCGGUGAGAUUUCGGCAACUUCCUAUUAGAUUGACUGUUGACAUUUGAGUUUGUUGAUGGCACAAGGAUAUUUUAGAAUAUCUUUUAGUGAAUGAAUGGGUACGUGAUGUGUAAUAUGUAUUCAUACGGCGGAAUGUGGGAUGAAGUAUAGUGAUUUGUGUGUUAUAUGGAGUUGGAGACUGGGAGUUCUCCGAUACAGUCUUUGUCGCGGUUGUGGAUUGUGAGUAUUCGACAUCGUUUAGCGGCAAUUAGGAUUUGGAGGCUAGAGUAGAUCUUUAUUGUUGAUAUGUUAGAUUUUGGACAUUAUGCUGGGUGUAGACUGGUUGUCUCAGUGUUGAGUUAUUCUAGACUAUUGUGCUAUAAGCUAGGUCGAAAAAUGCCAUAGAUUGUGUGGCGAGGUGCAUCAGAUUAUGUUAUAGCAAGAAUGGUUUGUAUUCCAAAGAUCAGCGGACGACUGGGAAGGAUUUACUUUUCUUAAUUAGGCCUUCGUGGCGGAUGUCAGUGCAGAGUUUUUUUACCGUCGAUUCUGCUCCAGUAUUGAGGGACCUUUCGGAUAUGUUUCUUGUUGUCAGGCAUGUCACCGGGUGAAAUUGUCUAUUUCGGUAUCUACUUGGUGCUGGACAUCGUAUCGUACGGCUCCGACAUGAGUUAUAGUAGUGGAAGGACCAGCUUCAGACUUCUUUGUAAUGAGUUUGUUGGUAAGCUGAUUGAAUACGUGCUUAACUUGAGUUGGCUUGGUUAGUCUUGAAUUGUAUUAAUAAAGGAUGGGUUGAUUCGAUCGUUAUUGGACCUACUAGUGAUCUGGGAAGAUCUAUGAGUUGCUUUUAUGUGCUGCGAAGCGUUAUGAUUUCUGGGCAAUGGCACAUAUAUUGCGGUUCUAUCGAGAUUCAUAGUGGAAGCUAAGUUUUGUAGCUUACAACACUAUAAGUAGAUAUGAUUAUGCACUCAAUGUGCUUACGACCGAUACUCGCUAUUCUGUGAUUCUGAGCAAAUUCGGCUUGAUGAGCAUUUCCCUAAGUGAGAUAUUUGUGUGGAUUGGGUGGCACGCCGCCACAGGUAUGUUAUCUGGAUCGGGUUGCAUGCCGUAAUAGUGUGAUGUUGAGGAUAGUUUCCAUAUGCUACUUUGUAUGCCUUGCUUCAUGGUUUCUGAGAAAAGUCCGUAUUGGGAGUUGCUCGACGAAUAGUGCGUCGGUGGUGUCCUUUCAGGAUUUGAUGGUAUAUUUCUUGCUUCACCGUGGGUGUGAUGGAUUGCUCGAUUUCAGGCAUCAAUCUAUGCGUGGCUGUCUAUUUUUGAGCAUGGUGACUCGAGGUGCUUCAGGUGUAACAGUGUUCACGUUGUGGCGAGGCCACGUGAAGUUAUGACCUUUCAAGGAGGAUUCAUAUAUUCUACUUCUAUGAUCUGAGACAGGGUCUCGGCCUUGUGUUGUGAUGGUACUGAUGAGCUCGGGGUACAUCUCUUUCGUUUGAAUCAAUUACGAUGAGUUGAGUGUGUUCGGACCGUCUCUUCUUGGUUUAUAUACGAUGCAAGUUGUGGAUUAGGCCUGUGUUGAGAUGUAUUAUCACCAGAGUGGUAUGUUAGAUUCGAGGGGAUCGUUGGAGUCAAAUGGAUACGAACGAAUUUGGUUUCAGCUUGUUAGUAUGUUAAUAUCGAGGUUCGACUCGAAAAUCUGUUGUGGUAGUAGCCUAAAGGGGAGUGACUCCAUGAAUGAUUGGUCUGAGAAAUUUUCACAAAUUAUAGCGUGUUUCAUCAUCGUUGGCAGUAUAUGAAAGUGUUGGAAUAAGACCUUAGCUAAUAAGAAGUUCCUAUCGAUAGUUGAGUAUUUUGGGCAACCAUGGUGAAUAGAGACUAUUGUUUCGAGUGUUGGAUUGUGUGGUUUGUUGCAUGGGUUCACCUGAGGUUAUAUAUAUGGGUUAUUACAAUUGGUUUAGGUUUUGUUCGGAGUAUAAAUGUGAGGUUUUAUCUUGUGUAUGGUUUCGGAAGUGCAAUGUGGUUAUAUGGUUUAUGGUCUAAAUGGCUGCAAAAUUUCAGCUGUAUUGUAUUAUCAGACCUAUGUGAGAUAGGGUGACGCGAGUUCAUCGGGUGACGUGAGUUCAUCCCCGAAUUUAUAUAUGGUAAGGUUAUUCAGCAAUUGUUGGGCUUUUGGAACAAGUAUGGGCACGUACGAGGACAAACAUUUGUUUAAGUUAGGGAGAACAUGACGACCCGACUCGUCGUCUCGUGAGUAACUACCCCGUUCUUCCCAUUUUCUGUUUCCUUAUAUUUCAUUAUCAGUAUUGGAUGCGUUAGAAUUUAAUUGGAGUGAUUUUAUUAGGAAAUGAAACACUUAGUCUCUUUUAAGAAGGCUUAAGUUGGAAAAGUCAACCGGAUAUUGAUUUAUGUGUUAGAGAGCUCAAAAUGCAAAUUUUAUGAUUCAGAUAGCUUCGUUAGGUGAUUUGGGACUUAAGAGUGUGUCCGGAAUAUUUUUGUGAUGACGGGUGUAGAAUUAAGCUUGAAUCGGCAAAGUUAGUAUUUUGGCGAAUUUCGGUUGAUAGGUAAGAAUUUGAUCCGAGGUUCGAAAUGGGAUUCUGAGAGUUGCUGUAGCUUCGUUAUGUCAUUUUGAACUUGUCUGUAAAAUUUGAGAUCAUUCGGACUAGUUUUGACGUGUGUCGGCAUCAGAUGUGAAAAUUAGAAGUUUCAAAGUUUAUAAGCUUGAAUCCGAGGUGAAUUUAGUAUUUUUGCAUUGUUUUUGGUGAUUCGAAGGAACUACUAAGUUUGUAUCAUAUUAUGGGACUUGUUAGUAUACUUUGUUGGGAUCCCAUGAGGCUCGAAUAAAUUUUGGAAGAGGUUUUGGAUGAUUUUUACCGUUUUGAGCAUAAAUGUAGUGAUCUAAAGGUUCAUUUUUAGUUAUAGAGAUCCGGAAGAUUUUUGCUGUUUUGAGAAUAAACGUUAUGAUCUAAAGGUUCAUUUUUAGUUCUAGAGAUCCAAAUUUGAUUUCGAUACUUUCGGAAUUUUUAUAAUGAAUUAUAGGACUGAUCUGAAAAUUUUGGUCUAAUUUCAUCAAGUCGCGAUUGAGUUUUUGACGCGAAACAUGAAUAAUUGUUUAACGAGCGAAAUGGAUAUCACACUAGGCAAAUGAGCUCCGAAUUGAGUUUCGAUUGAAGAGUUGUGUUCCUAUUAUUAUUAUUUGUGACUCAUAUGAACAAGAAUCAUCAAAUUCCAAGUUCGUAUGAAGGAGUUAGAGCCUUUUUAGUGAAAUUAAAGAGUGUUGGUGCAUCAGGUCUGGUGUGGUACUUUUAGCUACUAGAUAGCACCUUUAGCGACCAAAUUUGUGUCUCUAGCGACCAUAUUUGCUUAUUAAAAGGUGUUGCGUUUCUACUCAUUUUUCUUUUACCUAUUUUCUUGCGAAAUAACACGACUUGGGGCAAUUUUUGAGCAAGAAAUCAUGGAAAAUCUUGAGGUAAGUCACUUGUGAUUAUUUAUGCUCCAUUAUAUUGAAUUAUCAUUAAAUAAUCCGACUAUAUUACAUGUUUUUUAGGUGUAAAUCGAGGAUUUUGCACCUAGGGGUCUGAAAAUAAGAUUUGAAGAUAUAAGGGGUCAUUUCAACUCCGAUUUUGGUAAAUUUUAUAUGUACGGACUCAUGGCGAGACAAGGAAUCCGGUGAUGUGACUUUCGUAAUUUUUUGAGUCCACUGGUACACCGAGGUAGCCCUGCAGGCGUCCGCAGGCCCGGAGUCUCCUCUAUUUUUUAUUAUGUUCUGUUAUCUCUUGUAUUUGAGACAUAAAGUGUUACUUUCUUUCAAACUGUUGUAUGUAGUAAUCUUAGUAGUUCGUGAAUAUCGUGACACCAGUUUCUGGGCAGAGAAAUAUGUUGAUUUUCGUAUUAUUUGGGUUUUAUAUUUAUUUAAGUCUUUCGCUAAAUAUCAAAUUUCACUAUUGUUUAAAUGUUUAUCACAUGUUAAUAUGAUUUGUAACAG
rnacentral:lncRNA from 1 species